AUCCUGGCUCAGAUUGAACGCUGGCGGCAUGCCUUACACAUGCAAGUCGAACGGCAGCACGGACUUCGGUCUGGUGGCGAGUGGCGAACGGGCGAGUAAUGCAUCGGAACGUGCCAUUGAGUGGGGGAUAACGUAGCGAAAGUUGCGCUAAUACCGCAUAUUCUGUGAGCAGGAAAGCAGGGGACCGCAAGGCCUUGCGCUCUUUGAGCGGCCGAUGUCAGAUUAGCUAGUUGGUGAGGUAAAGGCUUACCAAGGCGACGAUCUGUAGCGGGUCUGAGAGGAUGAUCCGCCACACUGGAACUGAGACACGGUCCAGACUCCUACGGGAGGCAGCAGUGGGGAAUUUUGGACAAUGGGGGCAACCCUGAUCCAGCCAUGCCGCGUGAGUGAAGAAGGCCUUCGGGUUGUAAAGCUCUUUCGGCCGGGAAGAAAUCGCAUGGGCCAAUACCCUGUGUGGAUGACGGUACCGGAAUAAGAAGCACCGGCUAACUACGUG
rnacentral:rRNA from 1 species